rnacentral:tRNA from 3 species
AAUUCAGCGAUAGACUUGAAAACCGUCGAAGGGGAGACUCUUCCGUGAGUUCGAAUCUCACCGCCUCCGCCA